UACGUAGGGUGCAAGCGUUAUCCGGAAUUAUUGGGCGUAAAGAGCUCGUAGGCGGUUUGUCGCGUCUGCCGUGAAAGUCCGGGGCUCAACUCCGGAUCUGCGGUGGGUACGGGCAGACUAGAGUGCAGUAGGGGAGACUGGAAUUCCUGGUGUAGCGGUGAAAUGCGCAGAUAUCAGGAGGAACACCGAUGGCGAAGGCGGUUCUCUGGGCCGUAACUGACGCUGGAGGAGCGAAAAGCAUGGGGAGCGAACAGG
rnacentral:rRNA from 1 species